CUGGUGUGUAUUGUGUGUAUAAUGUGCGUGUAGUGGGCUGUGUGUGUGUGUGUUGUGUAUGUAGUGUGUAAGGUGUAUGUGAGUGUGCUUGUGGCAUGUAUUGUGAGUGUGUGUCUCUAAUGUGAGGUUUGAAGGGCCUCACAGUUAUGCCCACAAAGGUCACUUGGUCUUUCCUGGAGACGCCUCAUGGGAGUUUUCACUGUGGCUUCCUGCCACUUGCUGUGGUCUUAAAAAAAGUAAAGAGAGUUACAAAUCAUUCCUUGUUUGCAGCAUAAAUUGCAGAUGAUAAUUCAAAUUCCUGCAUCAGGUGGAAAGUAGCAGAUUUAAAACACUGCAAAGAAGGGGCUGAGCAGUGAGACGGAUGCUUUGGAACAAUCGAGAAAGUAAGAGCCAGCUGUAAGGUUGCCUGCAGCCAUGGAGCAAUGAAGUGUCAAGGUCAAAGAUCCCCCCAGGUCACGCAGUCCUGCCACUCUCCCUCCCUCUAUGGCCCUGCGCACUUCCAGUGGCAUAGCUAGGGUGGAUGAAGGGGACACCUCUGACCACAUCUCUCUGCCCUCUGACUCAAGUCCUUCCUGCUAUAAUGAAAUCCCCCAUGCUCCCUGAGUUUGGCAUCUACUUAAUCAAAGAAUGUGGAGACUUAGUUCUCAGGAGGGCCGCUACUGAGUGGGUAUGCCACUGGUCAAGAGGGUAACAGGAGACAGAAGACCCAGGAGGAGACUUUGGCCUAAAUGGAUCAGCAACACCACAGAGCAUCCACUCCCCCAGAGCAUCACCCGGAAGGACCAUCCGUUCGGAGACAUCCUGGGAGAACAAGAGGUUUCUUGUCUGACUCUAAAAUUUAUUUUAUCAGUGUAUCUAGGAUUGGGCUGAGUUUAAACAGAAAACCUUUAAAUAAGCACUAUAUGCCUGCUAGACAUAUUAAUGCAAUAAAAGAACCCUGUGUCUUGCUAAACUAAAUUCUCAAAAGUUAACAUUAAAAAAUGAUUCACGGCCAGGUGUGGUGGCUUACGCCUGUAACCCCAGCACUCUGGGAGGCCGAGGUGGGCGGAUCACUUG
rnacentral:lncRNA from 10 species